AGUGAAAUUGUGAUAACUCCUGGCACAACCAUUAAGACCCUCAUCUAUAGUGGACUGGAACAAAGCACAGGAACUUAUAAAAAAGAAAAAAGUGCACAUUCAGUUUAAUGAGGUGUUAAUUCAAGGAAUGCUGUGAGAGUCAGAAGUUCUAAAUGCCAGUGUUUAAAAAGAUCCAUGUCACAGUGAUCUUGGGUAGGCUGGGACACACCAGCUCACUGACGGACCUGAAAAUGGAUUGCUGUGGGACUACAACCCUACUCAGGAUAUUCUGAGUUAUAAGUGGUAUGCUUGGUUGUUUUGUCUUACGUACAGGGAGGAGUCACCUAAGGUAAAAAAAAAUAUAUGUAUAAAUGCCUUGGAAGGGACAAAUGACUCAAUGUUUGGUCAGGGUUCUUGGAAGGUUUGACAAAAUGAGAUCAGAGAAUAGGAAUAUGGAUGGAUUUACAGGAGCGAGCAAAAUAUGUGUAUUUUUUGUGUUUUAUAUUAAUGCCCAGCAAACAUUACUCACUAUACAGGAAGCACUUAACAAUAAGCCAGGUAGACUAGUGUAUCUUUACUUGAAGGGAUCAUUACUUCUCAUACUUCCUGUUACUUGUAUGAUGAUUCCUUAAAAAGAAUCUAAAUUGUAAAAGGGAU
rnacentral:lncRNA from 10 species